rnacentral:rRNA from 1 species
CCUACGGGCGGGUGCAGUGAGGAAUAUUGGUCAAUGGACGGAAGUCUGAACCAGCCAUGCCGCGUGCAGGAAGACGGCUCUAUGAGUUGUAAACUGCUUUUGUACAAGGGUAAACCUGAAUACGUGUAUUCAGCUGAAAGUACUGUACGAAUAAGGAUCGGCUAACUCCGUGCCAGCAGCCGCGGUAAUACGGAGGAUCCAAGCGUUAUCCGGAUUUAUUGGGUUUAAAGGGUGCGUAGGCGGAUGGAUAAGUUAGAGGUGAAAUGUCCGAGCUUAACUCGGGAACUGCCUCUAAUACUGUUGAUCUAGAGAGUAGAUGCGGUAGGCGGAAUGUAUGGUGUAGCGGUGAAAGGCUUAGAGAUCAUACAGAACACCGAUUGCGAAGGCAGCUUACCAAUCUAUAUCUGACGUUGAGGCACGAAAGCGUGGGGAGCAAACAGGAUUAGAUACCCGGGUAGUC